AAUCUGCUUUUCAAUUAGUUGACAUGGUGUUUGACAUGAAAUUAUAAGCAGAUCCUUGCUCCUGAUAUCCUGAUGUAUGGGUUGCAUUUCAUUAUAUGACUCCAACAGAACACUCACAGAAAGGAGAAUGGUGUCAAACUACAAGGCAGCCAGCAUGUAAACAAGGCCUUGUUUGUCCUUGUUUGGCUACUCAUUUGUUUACUUCCUGAAGAGGCUGAAGCAUGCUGGCCUUGACACCUCAGUCCUUGCUUCCAUUAACAGGUGUGUUACGGAGCGCAUCCUCACAUCAUGAUCUACUGCAGCGGUGGAAACAGAGGACAAUUGGCAGGUUGUCAGCUGUUGUCAGGCUCAUCACCAAAGCAGAAAGACAUAGUGAGACCAGACAUGCCAGGAAGGAGCAAGGCACAGGCCAGGAAGGAGCAAGGCAAAGCCCAGGAAUUUUUCUGCAGCUGUUCCCGCCAGCUAUAGAAGGACUGCUCCUGAGAAUAGAUGGGUGUCUACAUUGUUUUGCAAAAUGGGUCUUCUACACAUGAUGCUUGUCAAGCACUGCUCAUUGACUGGCCAGGGGUCCUCUGUAUUGUGGCCACUGGUCAAAGGCGCCACAUGACUGUCUCAGAGUCCUCUACAUCAUUCCAGUGACGGGACUUCUGGCCUAGUCUGACAGGAUGGGUCUUGUGUUACUGUGACCAGAUGGCUCAACAAUGCAUCAUUCUCAUCCAUGCCCUCAUCGCCUCAAGACUGGAGUACUACAACAGCAUUCUCUAUGGUCUUGAAAAAUAUUAUUGUCUUUAUUAUUAUUAUUAUUAUUAUUAUUAUUAUUAUUAUAAGUACAGGUCUCUCUGCACCCGACCUGCAGGUUCAGAGGAAGCUUCUUUUCUGUAGCUGUCAUCCGACUGGACUGUAGCUCUGUAUCCUGGUGACAACCCAUCAACUAAGCCCCCAAUACCCUAUCCCACCCAUAGUGUUAUUUAUUUACAAAUGCACAUACUGUAAUUAUAAUUAUACAUAACCAUAUUCUACUGCUCUUCAUAUUAUCCAUCCUGAACAUACACUUCUUACUACUCUUAUAAUGUUACUGUAGCUGUACGUACUAUAUAUAUCCGUGUAUAUGG